CGACCGGCGCACGGGUGAGUAACGCGUAUCCAACCUGCCUUACACUCUUGGACAGCCUUCUGAAAGGGAGAUUAAUACAAGAUGUUAUCAUGAGUAGCAUUUUCGCAUGAUUAAAGGUUUACCGGUGUAAGAUGGGGAUGCGUUCCAUUAGAUAGUAGGCGGGGUAACGGCCCACCUAGUCUUCGAUGGAUAGGGGUUCUGAGAGGAAGGUCCCCCACAUUGGAACUGAGACACGGUCCAA
rnacentral:rRNA from 1 species